GAUGAACGCUGGCGGCGUGCCUAAUACAUGCAAGUCGAGCGAACAGACGAGGAGCUUGCUCCUCUGACGUUAGCGGCGGACGGGUGAGUAACACGUGGAUAACCUACCUAUAAGACUGGGAUAACUUCGGGAAACCGGAGCUAAUACCGGAUAAUAUAUUGAACCGCAUGGUUCAAUAGUGAAAGACGGUUUUGCUGUCACUUAUAGAUGGAUCCGCGCCGCAUUAGCUAGUUGGUAAGGUAACGGCUUACCAAGGCAACGAUGCGUAGCCGACCUGAGAGGGUGAUCGGCCACACUGGAACUGAGACACGGUCCAGACUCCUACGGGAGGCAGCAGUAGGGAAUCUUCCGCAAUGGGCGAAAGCCUGACGGCGCAACGCCGCGUGAGUGAUGAAGGUCUGCGGAUCGUAAAACUCUGUUAUUAGGGAAGAACAAAUGUAUAAGUAACUAUGCACGUCUAGGCGAUACCAAAACAGAAAGCCGCGGCUAACUACG
rnacentral:rRNA from 1 species